UACGGGGGGAGCAAGCGUUGUUCGGAUUUACUGGGCGUAAAGGGCGCGUAGGCGGUCAGCACAAGUCAGUUGUGAAAUCUCCGGGCUUAACUCGGAAAGGUCAACUGAUACUGUGCGACUAGAGUGCAGAAGGGGCAACUGGAAUUCUCGGUGUAGCGGUGAAAUGCGUAGAUAUCGAGAGGAACACCUGCGGCGAAGGCGGGUUGCUGGGCUGACACUGAGGGACGAAAGCUAGGGGAGCGAAAGGG
rnacentral:rRNA from 1 species